CAAUAGCGUAUACUAAAGUUGUUGCAGUUAAAAAGCUCGUAGUUGAAUUUCUGGUCUCGGACAUCGGUCUGCCUCGAACGAGGUACGUACCAGUUGUCUGAAUCCAUCCUCGGGGAAAACAUGUCUGGCAUUCAGUUGUUGGGCAUGGGAUCCUCGUCAUUUACUGUGAGCAAAAUAGAGUGUUCAAAGCAGGCUUAUGCCGUUGAAUACAUUAGCAUGGAAUAAUAAGAUAGGACCUUGGUCUAUUUUGUUGGUUUGUACUCCAAGGUAAUGAUUAAUAGGGAUAGUUGGGGGUAUUCGUAUUCAAUUGUCAGAGGUGAAAUUCUUGGAUUUAUGGAAGACGAACUACUGCGAAAGCAUUUACCAAGGAUGUUUUCAUUAAUCAAGAACGAAAGUUAGGGGAUCAAAGACGAUCAGAUACCAU
rnacentral:rRNA from 1 species